rnacentral:ncRNA from 1 species
ACUUUCAAGGCAGGGUGAAAGUCCCUACCGGCGGUAGAGUCCGCAAACCAUGGAAAAUCCAUGGCUGAACCGGUGCAAUUCCGGUACCGACGGUAAAGUCCGGAUGGGAGAAAGG